GGGAGACGCCAACACAGCUAGCCAAUAGGAAGGAAGAUGCCACCCCGACUGGGGUUCUGGCCAACCAGUGAAGGGAAUGCUUUGUGCAGCUGGUCUAUAAGUGCUCUGAGGGGAUUGGUUGGUAUCUGGGCCCUGUUCUAGGAUGAGCAAGAGACCAGGAUGCAGCUCCACGCACGGACACAAUCAGCUGGUUUUGUGACCUUCACCCAAACCCUCUCUCUCUCUUAACAUGGGUAACCCAGCUGGUGUAUGGUGGGGAAGCCUUGGAGAACCAGUGAAGGGGCCCUGACAUCCAGUCCUGGCUCUUACUCUGUUCCCAAGGCUUACCUUCAACAUUCUACCCUCCAGAGUACCUGAGACUAGAGGCCCAGCAGGUACCAGCUCUGUAAUGACCUCUGACACCUAAGCCCAUGACUCAUGAUGUCCUCAUGACCCCUCGAGGUGCACAGGAGCUGGGCAGGGCCAGUGGCCGGACGGCGUGGGUGAUUCGGACGGGUCUACCCAGCCGCAGGAGUCGAAGAUCGUGCUCAUGGUUCUUAUGGGCACCCUGGUAGCUGGGGUGCGUUAUGGAGAAGGUGGUGAGCCUCAGCUGUUCCGUCCAGUCCAGCUUGGUGAGGCUGUGUUCCCCAAGGCGCACCAGCAGAUGUCAUGGAGCAGGAUGACCUCUACGCAGCUACCAUAUUUAUCCCCACGGCCAGCGCCAGCAAUGCUGCCAGGGCUGUUGCCGAGCAAUGGACAAGGAGUACACCACCUCUCUUUCCUGCAAGGAAUCUCUUGGUCCCUUGAAACCGGGGCCCCCCCUUUUACAACAAAGUCCAGACCUAGCAAGUGGAUCAUCUUGGGGGAUGGCUCAGGGAGGGUCCUGGCUGGUGUUUUGUCUCCCUAAAGGUGUGCACCUCCAGCAGGCAAAAUAAAGAUACUCUAAGGAGACACUAGUGUCUGUCACCCUGUCUAUCAGAUAACUGGAGCUAUGGACCCAGAAGAAAUGGGAAUUUCCUUCCUAGGAAUGCUAAGAGAAGGAAAAAGUGCCAACUGGAGGGUAAUGUCUCUGAGAAAGAGAUUUCAGACAGUUCUGAGAGCUUGCCAGACCCCCUUACAGGUGGGGACUGAUGCCCAGACCAUGAUGGCUCAGUGGUGGGUAGGAGCACAACUUGAACUGCUUAGAAUGACAUUAGCCCUCCAUUCACACCCAUCUCAC